ACAAAUUUAGUUUCCAGACAUAAACUCAGAAAGCUACACAUACUUAUUCAUUGGAAACUCUGAAUUGUACCUUUAAUUAACAUUCGCUGUGCUGACAAUAGCCCGUACUAGAGGAUUUCAAAAGCAGACAAAUGCUUCCUGGGUCUGUCUUUGUGUUUCAUCAGAGAACACACAGACGUAUGUAUUCACAGCAAUGGAUGUGAGUAUGCUCAGCUGUGUCCGACUCUUUGCUACUCCAUGGACUGUAGCCCGCCAGGCUCCUCUGUCCAUGGAAUUCUCCAGGCAAGAAUACUGGAGUGGGUUGCUGUUUCCUCCUCCAGAGGUUCUUCCUGACACAGGGGUUGAACCUGCAUCUCCUAUAUCUCCUGCAUUGGCAGGCAGAUUAUUUACCACUGAGCCACCUGAGAAGCCCAUUUACAGCAAUGCCCACUAGUCACUGGCGACACCUUACCCUCUCCCUGGGACACCUUCCUCGGCGGGCAACAGGCUCCCCGACCUCCUCCAGGUGUUGCUCAGACGUCACCUUCUCCGUGAGGCCGGCCCCAACCCACUUCAAACUCCCAACCAGUCCCUGCGGCAGUGCCUGUCCUCGCUCCUUGCCUUAUUUCCUAUAUCUUUUAUAAUGUUAUAGACAGUACAUUGUAAACAUUCAUUUACUUAUCCACUGUUCAUUGUCCAUAUCUCACUACCAGAAUGGAAAUUCUGCUCACUUUUGUUUCACUAGCACCAGAAGAGUGUCUGACAAAUGAAAAAAGGCACUCAUUAUUUUCUGUUGAUUAAUUAAUUUCUUCAGACAUAUUAAAAAAAAAAUCCCUUUUACUUAGGAAACUUCCAUGGUCACUUGAUCAUUUCUCUAUUAAUAUAAAACCUCCAGUUUAUUCUAUUCAUUAAAUCAUUAAGUAUCUAUUUUAUCCUAAAGGAAAUCAACCCUGAAUUGAUUUGGGAAGGACUGAAUAUUCAUGGGAAGGACUGAUGCUGACGCUCCAAUAAUAUGGCCACCUGAUGCGAAGAACUGACCCACUGGAAAAGACCCUGAUGCAGGAGAAGAUCGAAGGCAGGAGAACAAUUGCUUUUUUGGCCUAUAAAACAAAAGGUGAUCUUCUUGGAGAAAGAGGCUCAAGCUUCCAGGGGCAAACAGAAGAAAAGCUGACUACUAAGAAGAGACUGCAUUUGUUAUAGGAAAUCAAUGUUUCAGUGCUACAAGGUAGCAUUGCAUUUGGGUUUUGUAACUGGCAGGAUAGGUGCCUGGGGAGAGCGCAUGGGUGGGACAAGUGAUUAGUUCACCACAUGGCAGGUCAAGGGGCCCUGAGGAACUUGGAGGGAUAAAACCAUCUAAAUCAGCAGUGUAUACGUCUGCCUUCAGCACAACAUUCAAACCAUUACAAGUGGAUGCGACUUGUCCUUUAUUAAAAAAAAAAAAAAAGAAAAAGAAA